UUCCGUUCAAUUCCGCUUUAAUCCUCGAGCAAUUUUGUUGUCGGAGACGCUGCUGGGGCGCGGGUGCUUUCCUCCCCAUUUCUAUUUUUCCUUCUUUUUUUUUUCUCUGUUGUGUUUCUGCGAGAUAGCCCCUCCCAUUUAUGUACUCAGGUCUCAGGGGGACAGUGUUCGUGUAGCAGAGUCGACGGUGACGAGGGAGAAGAAGAGUAGGGUGAAAGGGAGGAGUUCGCACGAGGGCAUGGAAUCCCUGUGCGCGCGGCUGCCCCACGUCCACCAGCUCCACGCCCAUCUCCUAGUAUCCGGCCGCCUCCUCGGCGGCUCGCCAGCCCUUGCGCUCGUGCUGCUGCGCGCCGCCUGCGGCGUCCGCGCGUCCCCGUGCCUCCGUCCCCUUGCCCACCACCUGCUUGACUAUAUCCGUCACCCGCCCCCACGCCUCCUCCACGCCGCCGCCCGUCUUGCUUUCCGCCUCGGCCUGCCUUCCCUCGCGCUCCGCCACUACAUUGCCCUCCGGUCGGGCCACCCAGCCUUCCUCCCGCCCGCACCUGCCGUAGCCGAUGUGCUCAAAUUCAUCCCUGGCCGCGCCGCCCAUGCCCAUGCUCUACGUGUCACUGCCUACGGCGGGGACGCUCGAUUCCUGCACAACACGCUCAUUGCUAUGUACUUUUCCUGCGGCGACGCCACUCGUGCUCGUCUUGUGUUUGAGGGAAUGCCUGACGGCGACAGGGAUGUUGUCUCCUGGACCUCUCUCAUCUCGGGGCUGGUGCAAAAUGGCUGCCCCUUGCAAGGGUUAAGGAUGUUUACAGCGAUGAUGUGCUGUGAUGUCCGUCCUGAUUUCGUGCUGCUCGUCACAGUCCUCAAGGCGUACACUGAGCUGGAUGACUUGCCAGGUGCCAAAUCGGCACAUUCCUUAGUGGUAAAGGGUGGGUUUGAUGAUGAACAAGAUGUCGUGACCACGCUGACGGCCAUGUAUGCCAAGUUUGGUUGCAUCAUGGCUGCGAGGGCACUCUUCGAUAGGAUCCCACCCCAACAGAUAAAUGUUAUCCUGUGGAAUGCAAUGAUAUCAGGCUACUCCAAGAAUGGGCUUGCCAGUGAGGCAGUGCAUUUGUUCAAGAAGAUGCAGAUGUUUGCGAGGAGCAUGACCCCAGAUUCUGUCACGUUAAGGUCGGUGAUCUUGGCCUGUGCUCAGCUCGGCUCCACUGAGCUCACCGUCUGGUUGGAGGAUUAUGUACGCCGCAGUGAGUACAGUGACAAUGUGCUCGUGAACACAGCGUUAAUUGACAUGCACGCCAAGUCAGGGAGCAUUGCUCGUGCACGUGCAGUGUUUGAAGAGAUGCCUGCGCAUGACAGGGAUGUGGUAGUUUGGAGUGCAUUGAUCUCGGGUUAUGGGGUACAUGGACAUCUCGCAGAGGCCAUCGGCUUGUUUGAGGACAUGAAGCUUGCCGGGGUGAAACCGAAUGAUGUGACGUUCUUGGGGCUUCUGUCUGCUUGCAACCAUGCGGGCGCUGUGGAGAAAGGGUGGUGCUACUUUCAGUCCAUGAAACCUGACUACAAUAUCGAGCCUCGACACCGGCACUACGCUUGUGUGGUCGACCUUCUUGCCCGUGCUGGUCAGCUUGACAGAGCCUAUCGAUUUAUACUGGACAUGCCCAUCAAGCCAGAGAUGAGCGUGUGGGGUGCCUUACUACACGGUUGCAAUAUGCACGAACACUCAAACAUGGCCAUGGCUGAGAGAGCAGCACAGCACAUCUUUGAACUGGAGCAGUCCAAUGCAGGGCACUACGUGCAGCUAGCAAACAUGUAUGCAUCUGCAGGGAUGUGGAGCCAUGUCGCUGGUGUACGGGUCACCAUGAGAGAAAAGGGUGUCACCAAAGCAACAGGAUGCAGCUCCAUCGAGGUUGAUGGAGAGAUGCACAACUUCCACGCCUGGGAUCACUCGCACCCAAGGGCUUUUGAGAUAUUUGCCUUACUCUGCCUUCUUUCCCAAACUCCAGCUGGACCUGAAGGGUGACAUGACAGCUGUUGACUACCUUUUUGUAGUUAGGCUCAUGUCCUAUCAUCCUUUGAAAUAGCAUCUUGGCAGUCAACCUGAAUUCAGAGUUGGCUGUGAGGGUUGAUGGCAAGGGCGGGAGCUGCAGUGGCAGCGGUACAGAUCAGCGGCCAAACACGCCAAAGUCAAAGCAUUCUGCCACCGAGCAGCGUCGUCGUAGCAAGAUCAAUGACAG